UUUGUUGUUAACUGACUUGCCAAGUUAAAUAAAGGUUAAAUAAAUAAAUAUGUCUGCUAGUGUGUUGAAUAGUAGGCGAUUCCAAAAUAAUAGGAGAAGGCUAAACACAGAGCUGAUCAUAAGUGGAGAAAUACAUGUUUGAUAACCAGUAUAUGAUUGGAAAUAUAUGCACAAUUAUAAUCCUAUCGUUUAUUUCGCCUUCAUUACCCAUUUACACACGGUUUACAGGUCACGACUCUUAUGWUGAAGGAUUUUUCAACCCAACGUGACGUCACCCGGAAGUUAUUCCUUAGCUGGCGUCAAAUAGUUUUCCACCGAUAUUCUCAUCCCAACAAACAAAUUAUUUCAGGUAGCUAGGAAAUUCGUUUAAAUGUGUUUUACAUUUUCAUUUGGUACUUUAAUGAGUUAUUUAAAUAACGCAUGGCUCAGACAAACUCUAGAGUCUUUUAAGAGUGUUUGUUAUCCUAGCUUGUAAGCUAGCUAACGUUACACUUACCAUUGUCUUGGGUUGGAAAGUGACGGCAGCUCAAUAGGUUGGUGUCUUUCUAGCUAGCUAACACUAUGCAUCGUGUUUUUUGUCCAUAAUAUAGUAUUUAGCUAUUGCUUUUGACUACGAAAAGUUAUACACUCGUAUGUUGCUCUGGAUAAUCAGCGUACACAUGUUCACAUUGCACCCCUUUCCCAAAUGUGGUAUAACCUGUUUGUUUUUUAAACUCACCUUUUAUACCACCUCUGGUUCUACUGACCCACCUCUAGCCCACCAUGUCUGAACCGGGUUCUGGGUGAGGCGUUCCAGUCCAGAGAAGCUCACAACAGGGUCCAGAGGUGGUGUCAGUGAAGCUGGAGGACUGCGGUCAAACACUGGAYCUCAAUGUGAUUGUGAAAGAGGAGGAGAAUGGAGAGGUUAAAGAAGAAAAGCGCYGAAAUCAAAGAAGAUAAGGAAGAGGGGGAGAAGAGAGAGGUCCAAAACGAAGAGGAGAGAAAUGCUGAUAUGGCUCCUCCAGGAGAGAGCUCCAACUCAGGCUCACUCAGCGAGCCCAGUACCACAGUAUCAGGAAACCACCAACAACACYGAGGGAGGAACUCAAGGCAGAAACAUCACCACUGCUUGGACUGCUUCACUCGUUUCUGUGAGCCAGAGGAGUUGAGAAGACACACUUGUAAAAACCGCAGCCACGGUGUAACAUGUCCUCCCAAAYGGAAAAAGACCUCCAGCUCCUUCUCACCAAUCCUCCCACCAAUCCUCCCACAUCAUCGUGUCAGCUAUUGGGGAUCCUAGUAAACAUAAAUGUUGCAGGAGGAGAAACUCCAGAUAAAAAGUCUUGGUCCCCCACCAGCCACCUGAUGUAGAAAUAUCACUUCCUCAACACAGAACAAAAGGAAAGGACCCGUUCRUUCAACCCCUCGUGGUUCCAUAAGAAAUCGUGGCUGACGGCGUCUCCAAAAAAAACCUUUGCUGCUUCCCGUGCCUUUUAUUCGGCAAAGACUUGGUCAACGGUGGGUUUCAAGGACCUGAAGCACCUCUCCGAAAGGCUUUCGAAACAUGAGAGUUGUUGUACUCAUCUGGAAAACGGCAUGAAACUGGGAUUUCUAGGGAAGACUAACGCYGCUGGUCAGCUGGUCGGCGUAAACCCAAGCUCCCAUUGAGAUACACAACAGACAAACGGAGGAGAG
rnacentral:lncRNA from 1 species